AAUCAACGCUGGCGGCGUGCCUCAGACAUGCAAGUCGAACGCGAAAGCCCCCUCCGGGGGGCAAGUAGAGUGGCGCACGGGUGAGUAACACGUAGGUAAUCUACCUUCGGAUGGGGAAUAACAACCGGAAACGGUUGCUAAUACCGCAUAAUGCAGCGGCACCUAAUGGUGACAGUUGUUAAAGCGGGGGAUCGCAAGACCUCGCGUCUGAAGAGGAGCCUGCGGCGGAUUAGCUAGUUGGUAAGGUAACGGCUUACCAAGGCGAUGAUCCGUAGCCGGCCUGAGAGGGCGGUCGGCCACACUGACACUGACAUACGGGUCAGACUCCUACGGGAGGCAGCAGUCGGGAAUUUUGGGCAAUGGGCGAAAGCCUGACCCAGCAACGCCGCGUGAAGGAUGAAAUCCCUCGGGAUGUAAACUUCGCAAGAACGGGAAGAAUAAGCCGGUGUCAACACCACCGGCGAUGACGGUACUGUUUGUAAGCUCCGGCUAACUCCGUGCCAGCAGCCGCGGGU
rnacentral:rRNA from 1 species